rnacentral:rRNA from 1 species
CAAUAGCGUAUAUUAAAGUUGUUGCAGUUAAAAAGCUCGUAGUUGGAUUUGUGGCGUACGGUGUGUUCCGGGCACUUGUUGUCUGAGUAACCUGCUGUUGCCAUCCUUGGGUGGAACCUGUGUGGCCUUAGGUUGUCGUGCAGGGGAUGCCCAUCAUUUACUGUGAAAAAAUUAGAGUGUUCAAAGCAGGCUUAUGCCGUUGAAUAUAUUAGCAUGGAAUAAUGAGAUAGGACUUUUUUGCUAUUUUGUUGGUUUGCGCAAGAAGGUAAUGAUUAAUAGGGACAGUUGGGGGUAUUCGUAUUCCAUUGUCAGAGGUGAAAUUCUUGGAUUUUUGGAAGACGAACUACUGCGAAAGCAUUUACCAAGGAUGUUUUCAUUAA